CCUACGGGAGGCAGCAGUGAGGAAUAUUGGUCAAUGGGCGCGAGCCUGAACCAGCCAAGUAGCGUGAAGGAUGACUGCCCUACGGGUUGUAAACUUCUUUUAUAAAGGAAUAAAGUGAGGCACGUGUGCCGUUUUGUAUGUACGUUAUGAAUAAGGAUCGGCUAACUCCGUGCCAGCAGCCGCGGUAAUACGGAGGAUCCGAGCGUUAUCCGGAUUUAUUGGGGUUAAAGGGAGCGUAGAUGGGUUGUUACGUCAGUUGGGAAAGUUUGCGGCUCAACCGUAAACUUGCCAUUGAUACUGGCAGUCUUGAGUACAGUUGAGGUAGGCGGAAUUCGUUGUGUAGCUGUGAACUGCUUAGCUCUCACG
rnacentral:rRNA from 1 species